rnacentral:rRNA from 1 species
AAAUUGAAGAGUUUGAUCAUGGCUCAGAUUGAACGCUGGCGGCAGGCCUAACACAUGCAAGUCGAACGGUAACAGGAAGCAGCUUGCUGCUUCGCUGACGAGUGGCGGACGGGUGAGUAAUGUCUGGGAAACUGCCUGAUGGAGGGGGAUAACUACUGGAAACGGUGGCUAAUACCGCAUAACGUCGCAAGACCAAAGAGGGGGAUCUUCGGGCCUCUUGCCAUCAGAUGUGCCCAGAUGGGAUUAGCUUGUUGGUGAGGUAACGGCUCACCAAGGCGACGAUCCCUAGCUGGUCUGAGAGGAUGACCAGCCACACUGGAACUGAGACACGGUCCAGACUCCUACGGGAGGCAGCAGUGGGGAAUAUUGCACAAUGGGCGCAAGCCUGAUGCAGCCAUGCCGCGUGUAUGAAGAAGGCCUUCGGGUUGUAAAGUACUUUCAGCGGGGAG